rnacentral:rRNA from 1 species
UGAGCAACCUGCCCUUCACAUUGGGAUAACCCCGGGGAAACCGGGGCUAAUACCGAAUACGACCACUGACGACAUCGUCUGGUGGUGGAAAGCUCCGGCGGUGAGGGAUGGGCUCGCGGCCUAUCAGCUAGUUGGUGGGGUGACGGCCCACCAAGGCAACGACGGGUAGCCGGCCUGAGAGGGUGACCGGCCACACUGGGACUGAGACACGGCCCAGACUCCUACGGGAGGCAG